rnacentral:rRNA from 1 species
GAUGAACGCUGGCGGCGUGCCUAAUACAUGCAAGUCGAGCGAACAGACGAGGAGCUUGCUCCUCUGACGUUAGCGGCGGACGGGUGAGUAACACGUGGAUAACCUACCUAUAAGACUGGGAUAACUUCGGGAAACCGGAGCUAAUACCGGAUAAUAUAUUGAACCGCAUGGUUCAAUAGUGAAAGACGGUUUUGCUGUCACUUAUAGAUGGAUCCGCGCCGCAUUAGCUAGUUGGUAAGGUAACGGCUUACCAAGGCAACGAUGCGUAGCCGACCUGAGAGAGUGAUCGGCCACACUGGAACGGAGACACGGUCCAGACUCCUACGGGAGGCAGCAGUAGGGAAUCUUCCGCAAUGGGCGAAGGCCUGACGGAGCAACGCCGCGUGAGUGAUGAAGUUCUUCGGAUCGUAAAACUCUGUUAUUAGGGAAGAACAAAUGUGUAAGUAACUAUGCACGUCUUGACGGUACCUAAUCAGAAAGCCACGGCUAACUACGUG